rnacentral:rRNA from 1 species
GAUGAACGCUAGCGGGAGGCCUAACACAUGCAAGCCGAGCGGUAUUGUUUCUUCGGAAAUGAGAGAGCGGCGUACGGGUGCGUAACACGCGUGCAACCUGCCUUUAUCUGGGGGAUAGCCUUCCGAAAGGAAGAUUAAUACUCCAUAAUAUAUUGAACGGCAUCGUUUAAUAUUGAAAGCUCCGGCGGAUAGAGAUGGGCACGCGCAAGAUUAGCUAGUUGGUGAGGUAACGGCUCACUAAGGAGAUGAUCUUUAGGGGGCCUGAGAGGGUGAUCCACCACAGGGGGACUGGGAAACGGAGCAGACAGCUACGGGACGCAGUAGUGAGGGAGACAGGUGAAGGGGAUCAAGCCUGAACCAGCCAACCCGCGUGAAGGAAGACUGCGCUAGGGGUGGUAAACUUCUGUUGGAUAGGGAUAAACCCACCCUCGGGAGGGUAGCUGAAGGUACUAUACGAAUAAGCACCGGCUAACUACGUG